AUUGAACGCUAGCGGGAUGCUUUACACAUGCAAGUCGAACGGCAGCGCGGACUUCGGUCUGGCGGCGAGUGGCGAACGGGUGAGUAAUGUAUCGGAACGUGCCCAGUAGCGGGGGAUAACUACGCGAUAGCGUAGCUAAUACCGCAUACGCCCUACGGGGGAAAGCAGGGGAUCGUAAGACCUUGCACUAUUGGAGCGGCCGAUAUCGGAUUAGCUAGUUGGUGAGGUAACGGCUCACCAAGGCGACGAUCCGUAGCUGGUUUGAGAGGACGACCAGCCACACUGGGACUGAGACACGGCCCAGACUCCUACGGGAGGCAGCAGUGGGGAAUUUUGGACAAUGGGGGCAACCCUGAUCCAGCCAUCCCGCGUGUGCGAUGAAGGCCUUCGGGUUGUAAAGCACUUUUGGCAGGAAAGAAACGUCGCGGGCUAAUACCCCGUGGAACUGACGGUACCUGCAGAAUAAGCACCGGCCAACUACGUG
rnacentral:rRNA from 1 species